AAUAUGAAGUGAAUUUCCCCAACCGCGUCCCAAAGUCAGCGUGCUUAAAGAAAAGCUUCACACCCUGAAGACACCAGCAAAGGUGGCAAAAGCUUCUCUAUGUGGACUAAGUGGGUGGACAAACUGCACUGGGAAGGAAAACGACACGAAAAGAUGCAAAGGUGGCCAACAGCCGGUGGGAGGCGGGAGAAGUAAGAAGAGGAAGCGGCUCCUCCUUUACGGCGGCCUCUUCCCCCGGGCACGAUGCUGUGACGGGUUCCCAUGGGCGACGCCAUGGUGCUGUACGGACAGCGCUCUCGACUUCUAUCCUGACGGGGAACAGUGAGGCUGAGAUCCGGAAGGUAUGACUCACCUCUUGGUGCCUGUUUCCUCAUCUCCUUCUAAGAGUUAUUGUGAAGACAAAAUAAGUCCUGCUGCCCAUGGGAAAUGCUCAAUAAAUGUUAACUACUAUUGCCAUCUAUUUAAAAGGAAGGAAGAACAGGCUGGAGUUGCAGCUCAGUGGUAGAGCACUUGCCUGGCAUGUGUGAGGUGCUGGGUUCAAUCCUCACCACCACAUAUAAAUAAAUAAAAUAUCCAUUGAAAAAUAUUUCAUCCACCAAAAAAUAUUUUAAAAUAAAAGGAAGAAAACCUCUUAUUCAGACUUCAAUGAAUAAGACAUAAGACAGCCUCAUAUUGUCUGGCACAAAAUAAGCAACCAGUAAGUACCGGUUAAAUAAAUAAAUGCAUGUAUGUGAUACAAUGGGUCUGAAAGAGGAUGUCCAUGGUAGAAAUGAAGAAAGA